UGUGAACUUAGCCGCUGAUUUUCGAUUUUUGAAUCUUUCAUGUCGCGGGCGUGCAUUAUUAUUUCAGAUUUUUAUUUAUUUUUGUAGAUAAUCAAUACCCCAUAAGCGUUGCUUGCGUACUCGAACAAUCAUUGACAAGACCUCGACAAACAUUUAUUAAUUUAUUACUUGAAAGAAAAAAUGCAGGCAUCAAAAAUCGAUCUUUUCACGGAGGUGCCGCCAGGUUGGCUAUGUCUGACCAGUCGUCUGACUUCUUUCAAACGCACUCUCUACUAGCGACUGUCAACAGAUACGUUUUUGAGCAAUACUAUUAUUUUUUACAUGCUUCCAUAAACGAUCGAAACUUGAGCACAUUUUCCUCAAUACACGAUAAAAUUAAAAAUGAUAUACAGAUUUUCAUGUACUUUACAUUUCUCAUCGUCGUUACAACGAGAGGGAAAAAAACAAGUAGCAGGGCAUGUUAGGUUAUGUUGUGAAUCUCGAGGAUCUCAAGCCAUGGAGGUUAAAGAAGACCUUUCAUGCUCGACGUGAUGGACGAAAUAGCACAAAUUUUGUACUAUUAUAUCAAUUCAUUUCGAGUACAAUGUGAAGAUUGUAGCACUAAAAACAUUGAAGAAUGAGACCACCGAGUUUAUCUUGGACACGAUAGCAACUUGGAAGACUUUCAUUAUUUCAAACAGUUUGUUAACUAGUAUGGUAUGCGCAUACUUAUCAAACAAAAUAAUAGUACAUGCUCCAAAGAUGAGACGUCGAAAAGCACGAGAGUCAAAGAAUUGAUUCGAGCGUUGUAUAUAUACCAAGUCUCGGUUACUCAAAAGGUCAAGUUCUGGAGAACCAAGGAUAUUCUAAGCGAUUCACAGAUUUUGGAUUACGUGACUCAAUUAUCAAAGUUCAAUCAAAACUGAAACAAAUGCAUUGACUGAAAAAUUCAAGCAAUAGCAAUACUUAUCCUUACAAAAUACUUGUACCAAUUCGGAUGCACACGGUGAUCUAUGGUCAGUGUAGAUAAACUGAUAAAAAAAUAAACUUGGCAUUACUGUCGGAGGUGAAUUUGUGAAUUGGUGGUGUAGACUCUGGUGAAUUCAUUGUGUAAUUCAUUUAAAGUAAUAAAUAUAAUAUGUAGUCUUUUUUGAA